rnacentral:lncRNA from 1 species
AUCAUCCUCGAGUGAUUCGUGAUGCGUUGGAAUGAAUUUCGGAGAUAAAUAAGUGUUUCGGCGCAAAUUGGGCGCGAAACGAAAUGUAAAAAGAAUUUUCGGAUUUCCGACGCUAACUUUGAUUAAAAGAAUUAAAGUAAGGCGUGAGGAUAAAUUGUGGUAUCUCCGAAUCAAUUGUGAAGUUUUGGAAAAGCCAAGGGUGUGCUUUCAAAGGGUUUUGAAGUGUUCAGUGCGAAGUGGUAGUGCAAAAAGGAGAAAUUUCUGCCGUAUAAUGAAAUUGGAGCUGAUUCUAUUGCUAAUUCGGCUCCAAUAAUGUCAAAAUGCAAAGGAAUUGCUUCCAAAUUGGAUUGGUAGCUUGUGAAGGUCCCUUGGUAUCUUUUGGACAUGUUUGGGUGAAAUUGGAGUGAAAACGGAAACUUUAGAAUUUUCUGUAAAGAACGGGACUGAGAAAAAUUAGCGGAAAAUGCACAGUGUCAGAAAAUUAUGAAAAUUGGCAGAGAUGUCAGGAACAUUUUUAUGAGGCUAGAUUUGAAGUUUCAGAUUAUUCUGACACCUAUAGAGAGAGAAAUAGCAUCCGAAAGUUAUCUGAUGAAGAUUACAGUUCGGGACAGUUCGCAGUGACCAAACGGGGUCGAAACUGAAAUGUUAAAAUUUCAGUGGACUUGUUAAGGAAAACCGAGUAUGCCUGUCGAAUUUGAGCUCAAUUGGACUGUCGGAAGGGCUCCAAUUAAAUGUAUCAGACUAGAAUUGGAUUGAAGUGAUAAGAUCGAUGACUUAUGGACCUAAAGGCAAUUGUUACAUGCUUAGUGGAUUUCCACUAACCGGCCAGGGGAAUCUCCUCCAUGCUUAUCCUCCUUUUCAUCCUCCUGUACGUAGAGAGAGAAGGAGAAAAGAAGUGAAAAGGGGAAAAAGAGAGAAGUAAUGGAUUUGGUGCCGUUUGACGAGCCGAUCGAAACGCCGCGCACCUAAUUUUUAGUGCUUCGACACUCGGGUUAGUAUUAUAAUAUUAUAAUCUCAAAUCAGAUUUUUUUUGAUGGAUUCUUGAUAGUAGAUGUUAAGAAAAGGUGUUUUGGAUGGAUUUAUUAGUUGAUAUAGCUUGGUUUUGCCAUAGAGAACUUAGGAAAAACCUAUAUAGGUAUCAUGUAUGCUUGUUGUGAGAAAGCUUAAGAACAUGAAAUGAGAAUCUGUUGGAAAGUAAUUUGUUGGAAGGAAACCUGAAGUAGAGUUAGUAUAUUUCUUUGAUAAGGUUUGUUUUUUUAUUACCUUAAAUAAGGUCUAUUUUGGAUGUUCUUUGAUUGCUACAGUUUGUAGCUUCUAUAAAGCUUAGAGAAGCAUGCUGGUAGUAGGAGUGAACUUAGGCUUUCUAGGUUACUAAAAGCUGUUUGCUAUAAAUCCUAGGGAAUAGGCCUAUAGGUAUCAUGUAAAUGAACCUAGCUGUUGAGAAAAAUGAAGAGUAAGUUAUAAUUCCUGAUUAAAGCUUGAUAUGUAUACCUUAAAGAAAUGAAUUUGUAGUAGAAUUCAGGAAUUCUGAAACUUUAAGAAUGAGAGGUAACAGAAGUUGAUCUCUAAUGUUCCUAAAUUAUUUAACAUUGGUAUUGAAGCCUAGGUUUCUAUAUAGGUUCUUAUAGAACCUAUAUAGAAACAGGUUGUAUUAAGCUAAUGUUUGGGUAGUAUUUAGAGCUCUAAACUUAAAAAUGCUAACUUGUAGGAUUGAGGCCCCAGCUUGAAAUUAAUCGCGUGGAAACCUAAUUGAGGGUAAAACAAACGCGUUGGCGAAGUCGGUUCGGCAAUCCGUCGAGCCUACGUGAAGAUAUUGCCAAAAGAACAUUCUCGGCGACAAGUGUCGGGAGCGCGGGUCGCGAUUCGUGGAAAAGUGCGAGAAGUGGAUUUCUCUCAUUCCAGUACCAAAUAAAGGUGGGUUAUGCUUACCGAAGCGAUUAGGUCGCUUCCCAUGUCAAAGUAAAGUAUGGUCUCAUUUGAUGCAUAUAUGAAUAUAGUUGUCGAUAUAUGAAUAUAAAUGCUUGAUGCGUAUGAAUGAAUAGGCAUAUAUGGUGGUUGACAUAUUAUGAUUGUUGACAUAUGAUAGUUAUCAGAUAAGUAUGAAUGCUACAUGCAUAUGAAUAUGAAUGCUAGAUGCAUAUGAAUGUAUUAUAGUUCAAACUAUAUGAACGUCGAUAAUUCUAGUUGAUAAAGGAACUUCGAUGUUGAUAAGUAAUUGAAAAUAUGUAAACUAUGAACCUAGGCAAGAGUACCUAGGAUGAUAUAUAGAUCGAGUGGCAUGGCCUAGUGUCAGUAAACAUAGGUCUGACAUGAACCUAGUGUCAUUGGACAUAGGUCGAGUAAUUAAACCUAGAGUCGAGUUCUAGGUGAAAAUGAUAUAAAACCUAGCAAAUGAACCUAGGUUAUGAUAUAUAGUAAGACUUAGUACAUUUGAACUAAGUUGUGAAUAUUAGUGGUAUAGUGACCACUAGGAAAGGAUUGGUAUCGACCUAGGAGGGUCGUCAACAUAGGGUAAAGUGAGUAAACCCUCAAAUUGUGGAAAUGGAUUCCGGAAUCCCAAGAUCUAUUAUAACCUUGGUAUCAAGGCUAGGGCGUGUGCGACGAUUUCGCCGCCGAGAUUGAUACCAAGGCAGGAUUGGGUGUGUGCGCAGUGUCCACCACCCGGAGGCUUGAACCAUUGUUCGGCGUGUGCGACGAUUUCGCCGCCAGAUGGUUAAGCUAGCUUGUGGAUCCUACCGCCUGUUGACUGAACCACUGUCGUGGCGUGUGCGACGAUUUCGCCGCCGGGUGGCUAAGUCAUUGACCUAGGCUGUUGUUGGGUGAGGUGCGACUCGUUCGCCGCCAGACAGCUAGGACAGGAGUACGGUGAGCUGUCGCCAGCUGAGGUGCAUGUGAGAGUUCCUUCACCUCGAGCUAGACAGUGCGCGGACUAUCCGCAAUUGAUUGACUCAAAACCGAGUCGGGUGGCAUAGUGAGAUUAAGGUAAGAGCAACCUUAAGAAAGAAUUUGCCAAUGAAUAUAGUGGGGCCAAGUUUAAGGUGUAGAACACCAAGUACAAGUACAAAGAAUAAAGAGCAAAACAUGAACGAUAAUGAAAUUAGCUAAUGAACGAGAAUAGCUAAGAAAUAAAAGAACGGCUAUAAGUAAAGAAUGGUUAAAGAUAUAAAGUAGAAUCAAGUAAUCUACUUACAUGAUUGACAGGUUUUGCAUAUUGCAUAGCAGCGAGGCAAGGUAUGGUUUUAUUUAUUGCUUAGUCAAAUAUCUAUCUAUCUAUCUAUUUGUUGAACUAACCUACUGUUGCCUCCUUUGGACCUGGUGGGUCGAGCUCUUCCCUUGGGUGGCCGUACCCACUGGGAACUAUAUUUAUAUAGUUCUCACCCCCGUGUUGUUUUGGGGGUACAGGUUGCACGCGAGCGGCGCGGCGGCGCGAGGACAGGGCGUAGCUCCGUAGAUAGCGCCCCACCACUGAGACCGAGAUAGCAAUACCCUGAUGUGAUCGAGCUCAUAGAGUAUAAGAUGAAGAAACAAAUUUGUAGUAAAUUGUAUAAGUUUUGUAAUAACUUAAAGGUAUUUGUAAUAGUGUAAAUGUAAAAUUCUGAGAUGAAUGCUUGUAAUAGCAUAGCUCGCAUUUUUGUUUUUGAUACUAUGCAAUCUGUGGUUGAAUACAGUUCCUGUUUGGAACCUCUUGUAUCGCAUUGUAUAGAUUGUGACGCCUAGAACGUACAGGGGAGGUUCUGUCCGUUCGGCGGUCUGUCGGCGUGCCCGAAUCCGACCAAAUAGGCGGAGCUCGGGGCGUGACAGAUUAAAUGGUAUCAGAGCAUGAAAAGAGCAAUAGAAACGGUUUAAGCGGACCUAGGAGACCUAGGAUAGUAAACCGUAAGGACUUAUGUUCGUGAGAGACGAGGACUUGUGACGUGUGGCGAAAGGUAAAUCGAUUGGGUCAAGUUUAGUAAACCUCUAAGACGGAUAUUAGAGGUAGAUUCAAGGUUCAGUUUAUUCUCAGCCAAGUGAGUUCAUGUUGGGUCGACACAACAUGAAACCGAGGGAUGGGAAUAAGCUUCCUUGCAUGACUUUCGCCCGAUUUGAGUUUGUGUUAAUUAUUUCGUAUUCGACCCAGAGGGUCGAGGACUAACCGAGUUGUCGUGUCAUGUUUCAGGAAGCGAUGGCACCGCGUAGGCGAUCUUCGUCUAGAUUGGCGCGAGAUGGGACAGAUGGUGUCCCUGAGCAGACUGAGGCGAGCGGAGACUUGGAGCUUCGCGAUCAGUUGGCCACACUCGUGGGAGUGGUGAGGCAACAAGCGGAUGUAGUGCAACGUCAGCAGGAAACUGCUCUGCGACAAGAAGAGCGAAUAAAGAGACUUCAGGAAACAGUGGAUCAGUUAGUGACCGCACCAGUUUCGGCCUGUCGAGUACAGCCGGGAGUUGCGGCAGCGGCAUUUCCGUCGAGGUCGGGUGAUCCAACUGCUAUUGAUUCAGGGCCGGAAGCGGAAAGAGAGCGAGCUUUAGCGGCUCUCAUGUCCUUCAAGAAGUUUGAUCCACCUGCGUUUGAUGGAGAGGACAUAGAUCCAUGGACUGUGGAGUCAUGGAUUGAUUCCAUAGAGACUAUCUUCGAGGAUUUGUACACGGUGGAGCGGGACAAGGUACACCUAGCCGUGCAUUGUCUACAAUUGUCGGCGAAGGAAUGGUGGAAAGGCGUUAAACGGAACCGAUCGCCUAGUCUUCCUUCUAUGGUUUGGGAAGAGUUUCGGGAAUUAAUGCGUUCAACUUAUUUCCCCGAUAGUGAAAAGAGAAAGCUUCAGAACAGGUUUCAGAAACUACGACAGGGAGACCGCCUUGUGAGGGAAUACGAGCGGGAAUUCUCUCGUAUCGUGAACUAUGUUCCAAGUGUGGUACGGGACGACAAGGAUCGAGCUGAUUGUUUUGUACGACUUCGGCCUGAUAUUUUUGAAGCAGUGCAUAAUCUAAAGUUGCAGACUUUUGCUGAAGUCUUGGAUCGGGCCUUAUGGAUAGAACAAGGCAAUGCAUCGGUGCAGGAGGAGCGCGAAUCUUAUUACAAGGAAAAAGAAAAAGAACGACCAGCGAGUGGGUAUGAUGGUCAGUCAAGUUCUCAGCGGACCACUGGGAGUUCGCGUUCGCGAUCCCGAGCUCCGGGGACGUAUCGUAGUCGGACCUCGGCAUGUUGUGUUAUUUGUGGGGGUCCUCACUACCCACAGCAGUGUGAGCAACAAGAUGGCAAGUGCUUCAGGUGUGGACGGCCAGGUCAUGCGCGGGACGAGUGUCCACGGGGUGCUAGCCAAGCCUUGAUGCUGGCGACGGCAUUCUCCUCUCCGGGACAACUUGUAGAUGUGCCACCUGUGGCACGGUCUGGAGAGCGAAUGAGGAUAAGGCAACCGAGGGGUUCGCGACGAACGACAAGUGGCCGUGGAUAGGUGUUCCAUGUGGAGGAACCUGCUACGACUGUUGGCAUUGUGACAGGUACGAGUUAAUCAAAGCAAGCAUGUAUUUCAAUAUGAUAUAAAUUGGUGCAUUGCAUGCUUUCUUUAUGUAUUCUAUUACUACUAUUUGUGCAUGAGGAUAGUAGUGAUUGAUUAUAGAGACCCGAACAUGCUUGUGGUGGAUGUGUAGUACCUGCUAUUGCAGAUAGGAGGCCAAAUGGCACUAGCAAAUUGCUGGUAAGAGCCUGUGAAUAAGACGUAAGACUCGUAGUAGAAAUGGUAGUAGCUGACCAACUCUCAAAUUAAUGCGAGUUGCUGAUUGCGAGAGUCUAGUCGCGGUGUUCGUGGAACUCGUGUAAGACCGAGCAUUUUGCAGGUUGUUCUAGUAGAUCGAACAGUGAAAGUGGAGUCACUGUUGCGUCUGGUACGUGCACGUGGACCUAACAAUACCUCGAAUUGAGGUCAAUGGGUCGUGCUCGUGUAGUUGAGUGCAUAGGCAAGAGUUGCCUGAUGCUAGACUUAAUAUAGCACGCGAUAGAGUCGUGUAGAGCGCUCUAGUGUUGGUGCUCGUAGAGUACAGAUUUGUUUCAGCCGUGAGUGCGUUGGCAGUAGCACUUUAGCAUUGCUAAGUGUGAAGCGUGCCAGAGGUCACUCGUAGGGCUGGUGGCUCGCACUAGGUGCGUAGGAGCCGAUAGUGGUAUGUGUGCGCGAUAGAGAGUGUCGUGUGAGACGACGUUUGCGGGUAGUGCUUGGGGACGAUCCGUGCCUGGACCACUUGUGGACUGUGGAGCCUGGGCCCAUUGGGCAGGCACAGUCGGCUGUGAGAGGCAGCGGCCCGGUACCUACGGGUAGGGCAGCGAGUUUUGGUCAGGACGGUAGUUCCAGCAUAGACCCGAGUACGUGGAAUGCCACGUGUUGGAUCGUGAAAUCGGUGAUGCACUAAGAGUGCGGUUGUGACCCAACCCGAGGACUUGGCGUGGUUUGGGGUCUCGGUUGCUCCCAGUUGGAGUAGGUAUAAGGUAUCUCAAAUGAGAACUUUGCUUCGUGAUAAUUGGGUUUACGCUUGCGAGCGAGAGGCAUUAUGUCGUGUCACGGUUGAGUUAGGCAAUCGGCCUAUAGCGGAUCGGUAACUUAUGAACCGAAUUGUGGUAUUGGUUUACUCGUUCAUACUGAAAGCGAGCGUAGUGGACCCAUUCCAGUGGCUUGUGAGUAGGGCCGUGAAAGCGAAGGCUUAGUCCUAUGGAUGAAUUAAUCAGACUUGCUACGAUAAGCAUCGAUAACGAGCUGAGAAUGGAAACGCGAACAAAGUGUUCGUAGAGACUGAUGUGGAGAAAUCAGUAUAGUAUAAAAUGAAAUUGAGAAACUGUAGAAUAGUAUUGGAAUUUAUCUCCAUCCGUUAAGUAAUGAGGAAUAAAAUGUAUCUAAGUUUCGCGGACGAAACUUUUGUUAACGGGAGGAGAAUGUAACAUAUGGAAAUUUGGAGUUGCGAUGUCAACUUUGAUCUCGGGGAUCAAAGUGAGGAUUGAGCUAGUUGGACAUCAUCCUCGAGUGAUUCGUGAUGCGUUGGAAUGAAUUUCGGAGAUAAAUAAGUGUUUCGGCGCAAAUUGGGCGCGAAACGAAAUGUAAAAAGAAUUUUCGGAUUUCCGACGCUAACUUUGAUUAAAAGAAUUAAAGUAAGGCGUGAGGAUAAAUUGUGGUAUCUCCGAAUCAAUUGUGAAGUUUUGGAAAAGCCAAGGGUGUGCUUUCAAAGGGUUUUGAAGUGUUCAGUGCGAAGUGGUAGUGCAAAAAGGAGAAAUUUCUGCCGUAUAAUGAAAUUGGAGCUGAUUCUAUUGCUAAUUCGGCUCCAAUAAUGUCAAAAUGCAAAGGAAUUGCUUCCAAAUUGGAUUGGUAGCUUGUGAAGGUCCCUUGGUAUCUUUUGGACAUGUUUGGGUGAAAUUGGAGUGAAAACGGAAACUUUAGAAUUUUCUGUAAAGAACGGGACUGAGAAAAAUUAGCGGAAAAUGCACAGUGUCAGAAAAUUAUGAAAAUUGGCAGAGAUGUCAGGAACAUUUUUAUGAGGCUAGAUUUGAAGUUUCAGAUUAUUCUGACACCUAUAGAGAGAGAAAUAGCAUCCGAAAGUUAUCUGAUGAAGAUUACAGUUCGGGACAGUUCGCAGUGACCAAACGGGGUCGAAACUGAAAUGUUAAAAUUUCAGUGGACUUGUUAAGGAAAACCGAGUAUGCCUGUCGAAUUUGAGCUCAAUUGGACUGUCGGAAGGGCUCCAAUUAAAUGUAUCAGACUAGAAUUGGAUUGAAGUGAUAAGAU